rnacentral:rRNA from 1 species
CUUUCCCUCUUUCUUUCUGCCUAACACAUGCAAGUCGAACGGCAGCACAGUAAGAGCUUGCUCUUACGGGUGGCGAGUGGCGGACGGGUGAGGAAUACAUCGGAAUCUACUUUUUCGUGGGGGAUAACGUAGGGAAACUUACGCUAAUACCGCAUACGACCUACGGGUGAAAGCAGGGGAUCUUCGGACCUUGCGCGAUUGAAUGAGCCGAUGUCGGAUUAGCUAGUUGGCGGGGUAAAGGCCCACCAAGUCGACGAUCCGUAGCUGGUCUGAGAGGAUGAUCAGCCACACUGGAACUGAGACACGGUCCAGACUCCUACGGGAGGCAGCAGUGGGGAAUAUUGGACAAUGGGCGCAAGCCUGAUCCAGCCAUACCGCGUGGGUGAAGAAGGCCUUCGGGUUGUAAAGCCCUUUUGUUGGGAAAGAAAAGCAGCAGGUUAAUACCCCGCUGUUCUGACGGUACCCAAAGAAUAAGCACCGGCUAACUUCGUG